rnacentral:rRNA from 1 species
GAUGAACGCUGGCGGCGUGCCUAAUACAUGCAAGUCGAGCGAACAGACGAGGAGCUUGCUCCUCUGACGUUAGCGGCGGACGGGUGAGUAACACGUGGAUAACCUACCUAUAAGACUGGGAUAACUUCGGGAAACCGGAGCUAAUACCGGAUAAUAUAUUGAACCGCAUGGUUCAAUAGUGAAAGACGGUUUUGCUGUCACUUUUGGUGGAACCGGGCCGCAUUAGCUAGUUGGUAAGGUAACGGCUUACCAAGGCAACGAUGCGUAGCCGACCUGAGAGGGUGAUCGGCCACACUGGAACUGAGACACGGUCCAGACUCCUACGGGAGGCAGCAGUAGGGAAUCUUCCGCAAUGGGCGAAAGCCUGACGGAGCAACGCCGCGUGAGUGAUGAAGGUCUUCGGAUCGUAAAACUCUGUUAUUAGGGAAGAACAAAUGUGUAAGUAACUAUGCACGUCUUGACGGUACCUAAUCAGAAAGCCACGGCUAACUACGU